rnacentral:rRNA from 1 species
GACUCUCGGCAACGGAUAUCUCGGCUCACGCAUCGAUGAAGGACGUAGCAAAAUGCGAUACUUGGUGUGAAUUGCAGAAUCCCGUGAACCAUCGAGUUUUUGAACGCAAGUUGCGCCUAAAGCCUUUUGGCUGAGGGCACGUCUGCCUGGGUGUCACAC